AGUGCUUUUCGGAGUUACAAGAGACUAAGUGGACAAUCUAAGGGAACUAAAUUAACAUGGAUUCCAGCACAGUGUGCUCAACAACCGGGAUCACUAGAUUGUGGCUACUACGUCAUGCGUUUUAUGUACGACAUAAUAAUGAAUCAUGGUAAUAGUCAAGAUCUUACUAAGGAUUUUUCAAGAACAUUGCCUUAUUCACCGGAGGAGAUUAAUGAGGUGAAAGAUUUUUGGGCAGAUUACUUCAUGAACAAUGUCGAAUUUUUAGCUUAAUUUGUAAUAUGAACUCGAUCUCUAGCUAGCUACGUA